rnacentral:rRNA from 1 species
AUGACUACAAGAUAUUGGAACAUUAAUUUGAAACAGAUGAUAGAAGCAGGAGUUCAUUUUGGUCAUGGUAUUAAGAAAUGGAAUCCUUAAAUGGCCCCUUACAUUUCGGCAAAGCAGGGUACUUAUAUUAUAAAUCUCGCUAAAACGGCUCGUUUUUUAUCAAAAGCUUGUGAUUCCCUCCUGCUCCCCAAGCGCGGGCGCCGGGGCGUGGCUGAGCGCUGUGGUUAUGAACGACAGCCUUACCAUGCUCUGCCAACGCCCAUAACCAGAGCGUCGUGUCCAGGUUGCGCUGCAGCUUGUGCGCGUUCUGGUGGCCGUCGAGCGCUUGAGGGCUCGUGA